rnacentral:lncRNA from 1 species
AUUACGACGAAUCCUGUCCAUGUAUGGCAUGGAGGUCUAUGAAAUCAAAGGCUGUUGCAUGAAUCAUGAUUAGCUUGUGAGUGAGACUAGAUCUCUCCAGUUUAACCCUGAAAUGGAGAAGACCUUGAUCAUAAAAAAUCAUGCUGCCUUGUAUGGCAUGGGAUGCAUUAAAUCACAGGACAUGAUUGUAUGAGUCACGGAUAGCUUGUAAAUUUGAGACCAGAUCUCUCUUACUAAUGGAGAAAAUCAAGUGUAAUAACCUCUCUGUCUGUAUGUGUGCAGGUGACUUGAGUUUCUUAGCUAUUCUUUGAUCGAUUAUAUAAUGAGCACAUAUAAUCAAGUAAAUAUCUUAGAUUGUCUAAAAUGGACAGCUACUUCCUAUGGAACAGCACUUUAUCAAAUUAAUCUGUCUGCAUCUUUCUAUACUCCAAUAACUAGAUGAAGAAAUAUAUUUUUUCAUCCUUGUAUAUAUCACCUAAAACGAGGAAUUGAGUAUCCUGCUUGAUCAUCCUCCUAUCAUGGUUGCCUUCUUGCAAUGAGAAUUAUCUUUCUUAGCUCACCACCCUAACUUAGGCUCUAGAUAAACUAAUACAACUCUUUAGAUAUAGCACUACAUUACCUUGACCCCUCAAUUUAGCCUAAAAUAUGGCUUUCGAAUUUUAACCACAAAUAUUGGUAUGACAAUUUGGACAAGGCUCUUCCAGAAUAAUUAUUAAAUAUUUAAAGAAUCUAAUGAUUGGACAUAUACUCACAUCCAAGACAUGAAGCCAAAGUGCAUGUAACAACUAAUUGAUGUGGCUGUUUGAUGCUUGAAAAUACAGGCUUAAGGCCUUAUAUAAAGAGGUGAAAGAAAAAAA